rnacentral:lncRNA from 1 species
CCUCAGUCCAGAUACAACCCUUUCUGAGAGACAUCUCCUUCUUCCAGACGUAACAGGCCUGUUGGCAGGAUGGGGCAUUUGGAGGACAUUGGGAAAGGCAGUCCGGAGACCGGCUGGAAAUAACUGCUGGGUCUUUGCCACUGAACCAGAAAGGGAAAGGUAGAGACACUUGCAGUCUCUGUUCCUCCCAUUUUUCUUCAUGUGAGGUCUUCACCUUCCAGUGUUUGAAGCUUUUUGGUCUGAGCUGGAAAGAGUUCACUUAGGAUCAAAAAAAUGCUGAAGGCCAGAGACAUCCUGGGACACUACUUCUGUGGAAUCUACAUCACUGGACUAUUUCUACCUCCUCACUAAAGAUAGUCAGAAAAGAAGCCAAAUACAAGUAUGAGAGUGAGUUCUAAAAGCAAGAAGCAAAAUUAUAAGGCAGGUAUGUACUUGUAUUUCUCAUUUAUAUAACAGUUAAGAAUCAAAACCAGGAACAGAAUGACCUUUCCUUU